rnacentral:rRNA from 1 species
CAGGAUUAGAUACCCUGGUAGUCCACGCCCUAAACGAUGCGAACUGGAUGUUGGUCUCAACUCGGAGAUCAGUGUCGAAGCUAACGCGUUAAGUUCGCCGCCUGGGGAGUACGGUCGCAAGACUGAAACUCAAAGGAAUUGACGGGGGCCCGCACAAGCGGUGGAGUAUGUGGUUUAAUUCGAUGCAACGCGAAGAACCUUACCUGGCCUUGACAUGUCCGGAAUCCUGCAGAGAUGCGGGAGUGCCUUCGGGAAUCGGAACACAGGUGCUGCAUGGCUGUCGUCAGCUCGUGUCGUGAGAUGUUGGGUUAAGUCCCGCAACGAGCGCAACCCUUGUCCUUAGUUGCCAGCACGUAAUGGUGGGAACUCUAAGGAGACUGCCGGUGACAAACCGGAGGAAGGUGGGGAUGACGUCAAGUCCUCAUGGCCCUUACGGCCAGGGCUACACACGUACUACAAUGGUCGGUACAGAGGGUUGCAAUACCGCGAGGUGGAGCCAAUCCCAGAAAGCCGAUCCCAGUCCGGAUCGAAGUCUGCAACUCGACUUCGUGAAGUCGGAAUCGCUAGUAAUCGCAGAUCAGCUAUGCUGCGGUGAAUACGUUCCCGGGCCUUGUACACACCGCCCGUCACACCAUGGGAGUGAGUUGCUCCAGAAGCCGUUAGUCUAACC